GACGAACGCUGGCGGCGUGCUUAACACAUGCAAGUCGAACGGAAAGGCCCUGCUUUUGUGGGGUGCUCGAGUGGCGAACGGGUGAGUAGCACGUGAGUAACCUGCCCUUGACUUUGGGAUAACUUCAGGAAACUGGGGCUAAUACCGGAUAGGAGCUCCUGCUGCACGGUGGGGGUUGGAAAGUUUCGGCGGUUGGGGAUGGACUCGCGGCUUAUCAGCUUGUUGGUGGGGUAGUGGCUUACCAAGGCUUUGACGGGUAGCCGGCCUGAGAGGGUGACCGGCCACAUUGGGACUGAGAUACGGCCCAGACUCCUACGGGAGGCAGCAGUGGGGAAUAUUGCACAAUGGGCGGAAGCCUGAUGCAGCAACGCCGCGUGCGGGAUGACGGCCUUCGGGUUGUAAACCGCUUUCGCCUGUGACGAAGCGUGAGUGACGGUAAUGGGUAAAGAAGCACCGGCUAACUACGUG
rnacentral:rRNA from 1 species